ACGGUGCGGGCUUCCGGCGGAAGCGCUGGAAGCAAGAUGGCGGCCGCCGAGAGGGUUCACAAAGGCUCUGGUCCAUUAGAGGAAGGAGGUCCCAGAAUAGCUGGGAAAUUACGAGAACAGCCUCACUGCACGAGUUGGUGAAUGCUGUGAUGGCGAUUGUAUGAUGGACGGUGAUGUUGAAACCAGACUGGGGAAUGACCGCCCCAUCCGGAGAGAGACGGGGUCUUGCUCUGUCAUCCAGGCUGGAUUGCAGUGUCAUUGAUCAUAGCUCAAGCGGUCUUCCUGCCUCAGCCUCCCAAAGUGCUGUGAUUACAGGUGUGAGCCACUGCACCUGGCCUCUUCAUAUCUUACAACGAAAAGCACCAAGGAUUCUCUUUUGUUGAAUUUGAGUUGGCAGAGGAUGUUGCAGCAGCUGUCAACAACAUGUUUGGUCAGAUGAAGACUGGGUGGAGAAGUUUGCUGGGAAGAGGAUAAAGAGGAAGGUGGUUGAGACUUCCCAAAGCAGAAAGCCAGGAGCGCAGCCCAUUUACUGCCUUCUCCAGGAAGCUUUUCUGAAUCCUCCAGUGAGUAAGGGAGAGCCCACUGCUAAAAAAGGCCUAGUCAAAUCCUCAGGUGUACAUGGACAUCAAGAUUGGGAACAAGCCGGCUGGCUGCAUCCAAACCCUCCUGCGUUCCGACGUCGUGCCCAUGACCACAGAGAAUUUUCUCUACAUGUGCACCCAUUUAAAGGACUCGGCUUCAAGGGAAGCAGCUUCCACCGCAUUAUCCCCCAGUUCAUUUGCCAGGGCAGUGAUUUCACAAACCACGGUGGCACCAGGGGUCUGCGCAGGCAUGGCACUAAGUGUCCCAUGGCACAUUUGGCCCUCAUGGAGGCCUCAAAAGGGCAGGACCAGCACCCUCUUCUACGGAGGAAGGAACGGGCACAGCAGAAACAAGGAGAGUCAGCAAUUACCAGCCAGCCAAGGUCCUGGAAGCUGACGUAGAGCUCGUGCCGACGGCAGACCUGCCGGCCGUGGGAGCCGCGGACGUCAUCUGCAGGGACAGAAGGGGCAAGGUCUUUUCUGGGGUUCCUGCUGUGUGCAGCUACUAUGGGGUACCAGGGUGGGGGAUGCCCUGAUGAGCACAUUUGUCAAAUAAAUGAAUGACAGGAAACCA
ensembl:lncRNA PPIEL peptidylprolyl isomerase E like (pseudogene)